rnacentral:lncRNA from 1 species
UACCUGCCGUCGGAAGAUUUGAACUUUCUACUUGGACACCUAACACCCGCAGUCCUCCAGCUCCGGUAGAUUGCAAAUAACCUGCUUUCUUUCUGUUCCCGAGCUGCGUUCGGACCCGUCGGAUCGUAAAUCCCAUGUAAGGUACCUGCCGUCGGAAGAUUUGAUCUUUCUACUUGGACACCUAAUACCCACAGUCCUCCAGCUGCGUUCGGACCCCUGUCGUAUUGUAAAUCCCACGCAAGGUACCUGCCGUCGGAAGAUUUGAGCUUUCUUCUUGAACACCUCAUACCCACAGUCCUCCAGGGGCCACUGGGAUCAAGAGAGGGCAACAUUGCAACUCUCCAUGCUCCUGCAAUAUCCAUAGCUAUUCUGUAGACAGAAGGACAACAGGUACAAAGUCCUAAGGAUUAUAAAGGUAUGCUGCUUGCCAUCAUCUUAGUGACCAAGGCAGCGAAGCUGUUUCUGUACCUUGGAACAGUCUUCCCUGACAAGCCAGAGAACAGCGAUAAAGCCACCAGCCUUGGGAUCAGGACUGAAAAGGCAAGAGUGAUGGAGAUUUCUCCUGCGCUAAGCCAAGAGAAGGUUUCAGCACCUCAGACAGCUCCCACCGAAGUAGCGGCGCUCCCAGCUGCUUGCAGAUGUGGAAAAGGAAAGCCUCGGUUUGUCUUGAGGUUGUCAGCAGUUGCAAGACACGUAAUAAAAUGCAAUG